UUUCCUUUUUUUUACUAUGUAGCACCGUGGUCCAGCUGAUGGUGUCGCGGUUCUGCUCGGGCGCCAUCGCCUGAAGGUCGCUGUUGCCGGUGACGAGGACAGAUGGGAGGACGCUGCCGCAACGGAUCUGCUCCCCAUUCCCCUCCACCGUCGGUGACCAUGUGCGGGUAUCUCCCGGGAUCCAGGUGUGGUCUCGCCGCCAUGGAUACCAGAGGAGGAAGAGGCGCUCUUCCAUGUCGGCUACAGGAGAAAGAGGAGGAGGAGGCGCUUCUCCGGCCAGACCCGGGGUCGGGGCCGGCACGCCACAGGCAUCUACGCCUACGACCACGACCACACGCACGGGCUGACGCUGCUGAUGAAGAUGCGUACCCUUAGCCACGAAUUUGUCCCCGAUCCCAUCCAUGCAGGUGGGCUUCGCUGCCAUGGAAUGACACCUCUGAUCUCCCAUGUAGAUGAGCUCGGGUUCAUGGAAGCCAUGUCCAUAAAGCAAACUGAGUGCUUCGAAGUUUUGUAGAAAAGGAAUCGGAAGCUCGGAGAGACCUCGCGUCAAUCAACAGGUUUGACUCCUUUUAGUCUUUGGUUAUUUUCAAAGUGAAAACCCAUGAAAUGUCGGGAUCAAAAUCCCAGGUCAGAUGGAACUAUGGGCAUUCAUGAUUACUGUACAAGUAACCGAUUUCGUGGAGCAUGCUUCUUACUUUCUUGUCUGAAUGCUUAAUAGUAUAUUACCCUUGCAAUGUAAUGGAACCAUAGACUUUAUACCAUUGAGUGUAUGAAACACUGCAUAUAUUUUUCUAUUUUUUACUCAACAACAACCAAUCAGUGUCAAUGAAGGGUCUCUUACAUUUAUUAGCAGUUCCGACCAUUUCCGGAGUACAUACAAACCAGAAAAGUGGAAGCAAAACAAAAUUUGGAUCACAUUUUAGAUCUGUUGUUGAAAACAAAGUUUCUAUCAGGAUUUAGAUAUGUUAUUUCCUUGUUCUAAUCAGCAUAAACUGAAUUCUCUUAUCUGAUUGCAAAUUAUCAUCAAACUGUGGUGUUUCAUCGAGGAUGAUCUUUAUCAACAAUGAGGAGGAUUUGCAAAAGAUGAGAUUUCAAAUGGCUUGAAUAGGAAGAGAUGCAGAUCAUUAUUCUGGACAGUUUUAAUCAAGGAUAAUUGAAGCAUAUUGAUUUUGAAUCGUUGACACAUGGUUUGCUUGAGACAAGCGAAGCUGCCAAGGUUAAUGUCAAGGGCUUGAAACGUGUGAGGGAAGUAAACAUGGAUCUGAUGGUGAUGGGAAUCUUUCUUAUAAAGAAAGAUACAUAGGGUGUAUUAUCUGGUGCAUAUUAGAUAAUCAAAGUUGAUGCAUAUGUUACAGAUCUUCCCCGCGAGGCGCUACAGAUCACAUGGGCACUGUCAUGAAGGCCGCGAAGGCGUGGCCGGCGGCAUGGGUUAGCCUGUGGGUGGUACCACCAUGCUGCUCUCGACGUGCAUUGUGGUGCUGCUCGUGGCGGCUUUCGGAGGGAGACAAAGUGCAGAACAUAGAGAAUUUGGGAGCUCCUCGGGUUUGGAUCAGCAAGCCAUGUCCGUUUGGUUUGGCAAAGGAAGGCCUUUUAUCCUUUUUCUAGAAUGCCAUGAACAUCUCUGAAUUUUCACACUGGUUCCGACCGAUGGUUAAUAUUUUUUUGAACAUAUUUGUGACUGGAGCCCACACAUACAUAGUCAUGGAUCUGAUUUUGUGUUUUGGACCUUGCUAUUUCACUGAUUUGGAACAUGUAUAUGCAGUUCUAGGCUUCUAGCUAGAUGGAUUAAUAGAUAUGUUGGACCUAUGCAUUUUAUAUUACCCGCAUGGAUCUAUGUUUAUUAUUUGAUGCUCCUCCUUAUCCUGGAGAAGAAUUUUUGCAAACAGUUGUCAUAUUUGGAGAUAUGGAUUUGUUGUCACUUCAGCAUUAUGCUUUCAGUGCUACAGAGUAUGCGGUGAAAUUAGAUUAGAUUGAUGAUUAGCAAUUAACUAUAGAACUGUUGGCAGCACCAGUUUAACAUAUGUUAAUUUCUGGCCCAUCUUUAUUUGCUUUCGAGUUAAACUAUGAAUUUGAAAACAAAAAAAUUUAUACAUUUGUUGAUGCUAAAUUUAUCAGUCCUUUUGUUUCGAUAAUCACCUCCUACAUAUGUGUUGCUGGGUAGUUUUCUUACUGCUAGUAUUUUCUUAUGGAAAACACGGAUGAGUAAUUACGUGAUAUACUAUUAAUAUUAAACUAUGUUGUUUCUCUGAAACUAACUUUGUAUUUCAGCUUUGGAAACUGGUGUUCUAACGUUAGUUCCGACAAGAGGGCCACUAUAACCACCAUCUGGUCAGAGUUUCGUCGCUGCGCCAACAUUCGUGAAGGAGACGUCUGUGCAUUCCAUUUCAGGAUCACUUCAAAGCGCUGCCUGGUUUUCACCGUGCACCGCCUCUAGAUGCACCAUCAAAGACACUGCAUCCCCUGUGUCAAUAUAAUCUAUCACUAAGUACUCUUAAUUAUGCUCUAUCCUAUGAUAACUUAUGGUUUGCUUUUGGCCCUCUUAUCACAUGCUUUUCAAGACGCUAAACAUAUGUUGUUGCUUAUGUAAAGUGCACUAUUCUCAGUCAGAUGUUUCAUGUUCA